UCAUACGUAGGACCCAAGCGUUAUCCGGAGUGACUGGGCGUAAAGAGUUGCGUAGGCGGCUUAUUAAGCGAGUAGUGAAAUCUGGUGGCUCAACCAUCAACCCAUUGCUCGAACUGAUAGGCUUGAGAAUGGUAGAGGUAGUUGGAAUUUCUUGUGUAGGAGUGAAAUCCGUAGAUAUAAGAAGGAACACCAAUGGCGUAGGCAGACUACUGGACCAUUUCUGACGCUGAGGCACGAAAGCGUGGGGAGCGAACCGG
rnacentral:rRNA from 1 species